rnacentral:rRNA from 1 species
UACAGAGGGUGCAAGCGUUGCUCGGAUUUACUGGGCGUAAAGCGUACGCAGACGGUGAGAAAGGUCGGAUGUGAAAGCCCCGGGCUCAACCCGGGAACUGCAUCCGAAACCAUCUCGCUCGAGUGUGGGAGAGGGAAGCGGAAUUCCUGGUGUAGAGGUGAAAUUCGUAGAUAUCUGGAGGAACACCGGUGGCGAAGGCGGCGUCCUGGACCAACACUGACACUGAUGAGCGAAAGCCAGGGGAGCAAACGGG